CACUAAUAGGACUUAGAGUCGUCCCCUUGGCAGCAUCUUUCGUCGAUCAACACAUUGAGCAUGCAGCAGGGAUAAUAAUUGGAUUUAGCAUCGCGCAUUAUACAAGAGAGAAAGAAAUUUGUCAAUCUCUCAACGAGAUACCUUAUUUGAUUGCGUGUACAUGAGAACAGACAGAGAGAUGAAUGGCGAUAAACAAACUGCUACUAACUUGGUUUCGUCGAUCAUGUCCACUUCCUGAGGUGCUGUAAUUGGUGUAUUGGAGUGACCAGCGGUCGGGUCAUCGUUAGCCAGUUCUCCAUUAGUUGAUGAUACCACCUGUACACAUCAUUUUAUGUUUCGAAUACUACUGUCGGAUGUCAAAAUCGGAAAAGUCCUUUUUACAUUCUAUUUGAAUUGGAUGAUAAAGUAAUACACAUUGAAAAUCAAUUUAUCUAAAGUCUACUUACAAAUCACACAAAAAACCAAGUGAGAUCUUAUGUGGCAAAAGAAGAAGGGGAGGGGGUGAAAGAAGGAAAGAAGAGUGAGACUUGAAGAGUAACGUAAGACAAGACUACUGCUGGUAUACAUAGAUUCAAUAAAGCAAUAUACUAAAAAAAUGAAAGAAAGCGAAAUAAUAAAUUCUGAUCUUCCUCAAAAGUCAUACGCUUCGUACGUGACGAUGAUACUUUUGUUAUUGCAAGUGCAUAUGGGAAGACAAGUGAUCGUACUAAUACCGGAUUAGUAUCUCAUAUCCAAUCAAAGAGAGAAGGUAAGUCUCGAUCACAAUCGACACAAAGACAACAUGCCGCAACAAGUCAAAUUGCACAGACUUCUAACUGACCAUAAUCCAGUGGUGCUUUGUCUAGAAAUAGAGCGAGCAGUUUAUUCCUGAUAAAUUGAGGCAUCCCGUAUACGACAUUAUGAGUGAGAGACGAGAGAGAUGAUAUAAUAGUUAGGAAAGAACAUGGAUAAUUUCGUACUUCAUCGAUCUUUCCGCGUGAUGUCUAUCACGUACGUAUUAUACUUUUAUAAUCAAAAAAUUUCACGUUUCACGGGAAAAAAGGUGUACGAGAUGAGAUUAGGUACUUGAUGUAGAUUAAACGAAUUGUGUUUCAAUAUCGCGUCCCGCUAGAAAGCACGUUUCUUCCGCGGAAUUGCAAGUGAGUCGGCAGCAAAUAAGAAACGAGAAGAGAUGCAAAGUAAGUCAAGAAAAAGGGAGAAGCUUCUGGGAAGUCGAGAGAAUAGCACGAAAGAGAGGAAGGACGGAAGAGAUGCGCGAGUAAACUCACCUGUACAGAACCGUGCCUGUCAGCAGGUGUCAAUGUACCACCGGCUCCUGAUUGCUUCACAUCUGGCCACGUGGUUCCCACCCCCUUACCGCCCCCACCUCCCACCCCUCCACCUGCCACAUCCUGAAGGAACAAGCAUGACAAUUUCGCAGUUGCGUCGCGUUAAACAACUCCGCGAAUAAACACGGAUAGUAGAAAAAAAAGAGAUGUCGAGGACAGGUCCGCGAGAGAAAUCUUUUUGACCAUAUAGCAUGGCGAUCUAUGAUGAUAAACGCGAGAUCUGUGCAUUAAGAAGAUUGAUCCAAUCCGAUAUUAAUCUUUAUAUCAUGGGAAUGAAAAUGCGGUUCGCUCUCUGAUAAUAAAGGAGAUGUAUAUAAUUAUCUACUCGUUAAAUAUUUGUAUACUUUUCAUUUGGAUGAACUGAGAAAAGAUGCAACAAAUUUCCUAGCUCCUAGUUUAUUACAAGCCGCUCAGCUACUUAAGCAAAACUUGGCAAAAUUACUUCUUCGUGCAUGAGUUUAUCGCUAUCGCGAUUUCGAAUUAAACGUGUAUCGCCUCGCUACACGACACUUCGUCACGGAUCGUGAUCUAUAUUUGGGCCAUGGACCAUCAUCUAUAUUUAGUCACUCUAACAACAUUGCGCGGCAGAAAAUUUAUUUUUUUUUACCGUUAUCAAUCAGUUAAUCAACUAUUGAUCUGAAAAGACUGCGAGUUCGUAGAGUUCACACUCCACGAUCGUUAAACCUUGCGCGACCUUGUUUUACGAGCAGAAAAACAUUAAUAUCGCAUAUUAUAAAAUGUGAUCGCGGGUAUCUUUCCGACUAUAUAGUCAUCUCUCCGUGCUGAUAAGAUAAAGGCAUGCAUGAAGAAGUCGAUUCAUCGAGCGUAACCUAAGAAUGGCUUACAUAUCGGCCUUGCGAUUCGAAGCGAACCUCAUCCAUCAUGAGGAUCACAUCCUCCUCAAAAUCAUCGUACUCCUACAAAUUGACGCCAUCAUAUUCGCGUUGGAUUACGUGCUGAGAGGGAAACCAGCAUACUGUGCGUGUUUUCGUUUUUUUUUCUUUUUUUUUCUGUACUUAAUAUCGCCACACUGGUAUCUUUCCGAAAAAUUUGUUCAUUAUUCGAUCUGUACCUUUAUCCCGAGAUAAACAAGAAUUCUGAAUCAAGGUCGUUGUUAAAACUCUGUUUUCGGUUCUUUCGCUACUGAGGCGUGUAUCCAUGCGGUUAACUCGAAUGAAAAAAACAAAUGGGCUACACACGUCCAUGCUUUUGGCUUAGAGAGAAAAGAAAAGAAAAGAUAGGAGAAACAGAAGGAAACAAGGAAUACCUUGUAAGCGGCGGGAUGCCGAUCGCGAUUCGGUGAUACGACGAUCUCCUGGCCGGUUUGAAGGGAUCCGACGGGCGUGGACUGUAAUGAGAGAGAAAACGUUGCUUUAUAUACAUGUAUAAUGAACGAAAGUUUGUAAUAAGCGCCGUUAUCGCGCGCUUCUACGUAUUUUCACGAGGUAUAUGGAUAACAUACUUGGAACUGGAAAACGGACGGACGGACGGACAGACAGACAGACAGACAGACUUAUUGACACGGACUGUGCACUUUAAUUUACUUAAGAAUACCUGUGACAUCACAAUCACAUUAGAUCCCUAUAUACAUGAGGUUCGUAAGACCAACACGGCCGUGACAAAUGGUAACGAUUAUUAGUUAGAAUAACGUGACAAUGUAGCGGUACUUUACUACAUGAAUUGCAGAUAUGCGAUUCCAUUACAAUGCGCAAAGAUAUCGAAGCUCAAUUACUCGCGGCCGCAAUAAUCUGUCAUGAGAUAUUGUCGCUACUCGAGAGCGACACCACCAACCUUGUCGGACUUAGUUUUGCCGAUAUGCGAGGGAGCCGCCAUUCGUAAUGCUCUCAGGUUCUCAAAGUUGGAUGGCUAGAGAUAGUGCAUUGAGAGGGAAGGCAGCAUGCAAACGUUAAAAAUCAAAUGUGAAACUGCUCUUCGGUACCGCAGUGCUCUAUAUCGCGGGUCUGUUAGAAUAUAGGGCAAUUUACUUACCCAGUUGCCAGUCAAUAUUUUCCCAAUAAAUUAUUUUAGAAAAUUAUGACUAACAAAAAAAAA